rnacentral:rRNA from 2 species
CCUGCCCAGAAGCGGGGGACAACAUUUGGAAACAGAUGCUAAUACCGCAAACAACGUUGUUCGCAUGAACAACGCUAAAAGAUGGCUUCUCGCUAUCACUUCUGGAUGGACCUGCGGUGCAUAGCUUGUUGGUGGGGUAACGGCCUACCAAGGCGAUGAUGCAUAGCCGAGUUGAGAGACUGAUCGGCCACAAUGGGACUGAGACACGGCCCAUACUCCUACGGGAGGCAGCAGUAGGGAAUCUUCCACAAUGGGCGCAAGCCUGAUGGAGCAACACCGCGUGAGUGAAGAAGGGUUUCGGCUCGUAAAGCUCUGUUGUUAAAGAAGAACACGUAUGAGAGUAACUGUUCAUACGUUGACGGUAUUUAACCAGAAAGUCACGGCUAACUACGUGCCAGCAGCCGCGGUAAUACGUAGGUGGCAAGCGUUAUCCGGAUUUAUUGGGCGUAAAGAGAGUGCAGGCGGUUUUCUAAGUCUGAUGUGAAAGCCUUCGGCUUAACCGGAGAAGUGCAUCGGAACUGGAUAACUGAGUGCAGAAGAGGGUAGUGGAACUCCAUGUGUAGCGGUGGAAUGCGUAGAUAUAUGGAAGAACACCAGUGGCGAAGGCGGCUACCUGGUCUGCAACUGACGCUGAGACUCGAAAGCAUGGGUAGCGAACAGGAUUAGAUACCCUGGUAGUCCAUGCCGUAAACGAUGAGUGCUAGGUGUUGGAGGGUUUCCGCCCUUCAGUGCCGGAGCUAACGCAUUAAGCACUCCGCCUGGGGAGUACGACCGCAAGUUGAAACUCAAAGGAAUUGACGGGGCCCGCACAAGCGGUGGAGCAUGUGGUUUUAAUUCGAAGCUACGCGAAGAACCUUACCAGGUCUGACAUCUUGCGCCAACCCUAGAGAUAGGGCGUUUCCUUCGGGAACGCAAUGACAGGUGGUGCAUGGUCGUCGUCAGCUCGUGUCGUGAGAUGUUGGGUUAAGUCCCGCAACGAGCGCAACCCUUGUUACUAGUUGCCAGCAUUAAGUUGGGCACUCUAGUGAGACUGCCGGUGACAAACCGGAGGAAGGUGGGGACGACGUCAGAUCAUCAUGCCCCUUAUGACCUGGGCUACACACGUGCUACAAUGGACGGUACAACGAGUCGCGAACUCGCGAGGGCAAGCAAAUCUCUUAAAACCGUUCUCAGUUCGGACUGCAGGCUGCAACUCGCCUGCACGAAGUCGGAAUCCGCUUGUAAUCGCGAUCAGCUGCUGCGCCCCCUGUUAAUAUAUAGCAUC